rnacentral:rRNA from 1 species
AUUGAACGCUGGCGGCAGGCCUAACACAUGCAAGUCGAGCGGAUGAAGGGAGCUUGCUCCUGGAUUCAGCGGCGGACGGGUGAGUAAUGCCUAGGAAUCUGCCUGGUAGUGGGGGAUAACGUCUGGAAACGGGCGCUAAUACCGCAUACGUCCUGAGGGAGAAAGUGGGGGAUCUUCGGACCUCACGCUAUCAGAUGAGCCUAGGUCGGAUUAGCUAGUUGGUGGGGUAAAGGCCUACCAAGGCGACGAUCCGUAACUGGUCUGAGAGGAUGAUCAGUCACACUGGAACUGAGACACGGUCCAGACUCCUACGGGAGGCAGCAGUGGGGAAUAUUGGACAAUGGGCGAAAGCCUGAUCCAGCCAUGCCGCGUGUGUGAAGAAGGUCUUCGGAUUGUAAAGCACUUUACGUUGGGAGGAAGGGCAGUAAGUUAAUACCUUGCUGUUUUGACGUUACCAACAGAAUAAGCACCGGCUAACUUCGUG